AACGAACGCUGGCGGCGCGCCUAACACAUGCAAGUCGAACGCUCCGGUUUCGGCCGGGGAGUGGCGGACGGGUGAGUAACGCGUGGGGACCUGCCUUUCGGCUCGGGACAACCGGGGGAAACUACGGCUAAGACCGGAUACGCCCCCAGGUUAACAUCUGGGGGGAAAGAUUCAUCACCGAGAGAUGGACCCGCGUCCGAUUAGCUAGACGGUGGGGUAAUGGCCUACCGUGGCGACGAUCGGUAGCCGGCCUGAGAGGGUGGCCGGCCACACUGGGACUGAGACACGGCCCAGACUCCUACGGGAGGCAGCAGUGGGGAAUCUUGGACAAUGGGGGCAACCCUGAUCCAGCGACGCCGCGUGGGUGACGAAGGCCUUCGGGCUGUAAAGCCCUUUUGCCGGGGACGAUGAUGACGGUACCCGGAGAAUAAGCACCGGCUAACUCCGUGCCAGCAGCCGCGGUAAAAC
rnacentral:rRNA from 1 species